AGGAAGACCUAGUAUCCUAUGACCUAUGAAUCUGUGUGGCUACCAGCUAUGCCAGUAUGUGAAUAGACUAUCUGUAUUCACAAUUAGAAACCUCUCUUUCAUAAGGUUGAGUGCGAUUGUCCCCUGUCUCAGGAGCUUUGGGAGGACUGGUCAGUACAGGAGGUACUCCUAGAGCAGGAAUAGGUUCUAGGGUAUGAGCUCUGUUACGGGUCCGCAUCCCAUGGGUGGGAUGGACUUCAUC
rnacentral:lncRNA from 1 species